rnacentral:tRNA from 1 species
GGGGCUGGGGUUCAAUGGCAGAACAUUUGGUUUGCAUGCAGAAGGUUCCAGGUUCAAUCUCUGGUGACUCUA